GCCCCCAACCCCCCCCGGGAAUUCCCCCCCCCCCCCAAGGGGAGUAUUAAAAAAGGUUGCCGCAGUAAAAAAAGCGAGGAGGGGGUUCUGUUAAUAAUUUAUUAUAAAAAAUUUUUUGAGAAUUUUUUAUAUAUUAUCCACAUUCUUCAUACUACUUUUUUUUUUAGUAUAUGAAAUUUUACUUUGAGAAAAUUAGAGUGCUUAAAGCAGGCAUAUGCCUUGAAUACUCCAGCAUGGAAUAAUAUUAAAGAUUUUUAUCUUUUUUAUUGGUUCUAAGAUAAGAAUAAUGAUUAAUAGGGACAGUUGGGGGCAUUUGUAUUUAACAGUCAGAGGUGAAAUUGGGUAGAGGGGUUAAAGACAAACUAAUGCGAAAGCAUUUGCCAAGGAUGUUUUCAUUAAUCAAGAACGAAAGUUAGGGGAUCGAAGACGAUCAGAUACCGUCGUAGUCUGAACCAUAACUAUGAAGGAGUAGAGAUGGAGGUG
rnacentral:rRNA from 1 species